rnacentral:rRNA from 1 species
UACAGAGGUCCCAAGCGUUGUUCGGAUUCACUGGGCGUAAAGGGCGCGUAGGUGGCUUGGCAAGUUUGACGUGAAAUCUCCGGGCUUAACCCGGAAAAUGCGUUGAAUACUGUUUGAGCUUGAGGAUUGGAGGGGGGACUGGAAUUCUUGGUGUAGCAGUGAAAUGCGUAGAUAUCAAGAGGAACACCAGUGGCGAAGGCGAGUCCCUGGACAACACCUGACACUGAGGCGCGAAAGCUAGGGGAGCAAACAGG